CAAAUAAUGUCGAAGAAGUAAUAGCACAUGGUAAAGGACAAGCAGUCAUCUAUCAGAAUGCUCGUUUCGGAGCGGCUCCCGUACUGCUGGACGAUCACACGUAUCAGUUUACAUUUAAGCGGAAGCAAGUCAGCCACUACCGUUGCAUUCAGUUUCGGAAGACCAAAUGUCCCGCCAAUGUGGUCGUGAAAGAAGGCUUGGUUUAUUAUGCGUGUGAUGUGCACAACCAUGCGGAAAAAUCGGCCCAAAGGGACACUCUGUGUGGAUUGUAUCAAGCCAGAGACUCGAGAACCUUAAAACGCUAAAAUGGAAGUGGAAUUUUUCACAAUAAACAAUGUUAUAAUGUCGAGAAGAAAAGCUGUUCUUUUAUUGGAACAACUAUUUUUAAAUAAACUAAAAAACAAAAAAACAUGGUGUAGUUAAGCACACCGGAAAAAUACUACAUUUUAUCCUCCGAUGAGAUUUACGAAGUUCGCGACUCAAAUGCACCGUAUGUAACUGGAUUUUCGUUCCCCUUAGUCGAACCGGAGGAAGUCGAGAGACUCGAGAAUUCGGUCUCUCAAAACGAUCGCAUCCGCGAGGAAUAUGUAAACUUUUUGACUCGCAAGAAACCUGCUGGAAUGUCGAUAGUUCAAUUUCUUCCAAUGGUUUUCUCGGACGAAGCUCUGGAUGGAUAUAAUUACAACGGAUCUAAUGCGCUCGGAAAAUGCAAAUUGCCCAUGAAAGGGUAUGACAUAUUUUCGCACUGCUUUAUUGACGCAUUCUCGUCACAGGGAUUGAACGUUAAAGAAUUGGCCACACAAAUGACGGCGGCUAUAAAACUUAGUCGCAAUCGCAUGCGACAAAGGACAUUUAGAGCGAAGCGAUCUAUUAAAAAAAUGCUGUACAAAACACUAUGAGUUGCGUUGGAAUAAAAUUAUGCGAAUGAAAAAAAACAGGUGUUUAAUUUAGAUUAACAUUUACUCGAUAUUUAUAGUUUUUUUUUCCAAAAUGCAACAUUUGAUUAUUUACAGUGACAUCUUCAGCAACUUCAUAUCACCUGUUUUGAAAACGAGAACCUUUCAAGGUAGCCAGAAAAAGUAUUGAUUUGGCAGAAAAAGUAUUGAUUACUUCGAACUAAUUUUUGAGUGUGUCAGGCUUUAACUUCUCUUUGCAAAACGAGGAUAUUGAACAAUUGGAGAACUUGGUUUAAAAGAACCAGCAAAUCCACGUACUAUAUACGUUGCCUCAAGCAUAAAAAAAUCGCGAUGAAAGUGCCACAUUAGCAAUUACUAGAAUUUUUACCAACGAAGCUCUGGGGAAUUUCAUUUAUCACGGUUUCUCGAAUCCGCAGUAUUCUAGGAAAGCUAUUUUCACCGAUUGCAUGCUUGCUGCUUGGGAAGAUCACGGGGUAAUCCCGGAAUGUUUAAAAAAUGCUCUAAUCAAGGCAACGCAACGAGCAAAGCAAAACCUGGCUUCCGCUCGAUAUUAUCGACGGUACCGAAGCCGGUUAGUGAAAAACGAAAAGAGCAUAAAAACAAAUGUAUGAAUCAUCAGUCUGAGGUUUUAUAGUACAUGUUAGAUUAUUCACGUGAUUGGCCAGAUUUUUUGUUCAUUGGGAUAUAUAUAUUUAUAGAAAAAACUUGGGAUAUUUUGAAAAGACUUAAAACUGCGCCAUCUAGAAAUAAAACACGAAUCGAAAAAUUGAGAUUAUAGUUUUCCUUUUUUUGCUUUGGAUAAUAAUUCAUCAAAGAUUGCUUUUAAUACAAUAUAAAAUACCUUUUCAGAAAAAUACACACCAUCCCGCGUGAAGCUAGAAACAAGUUGUCAUGAAACUUUCAACAAAGUUGAAUGUUUAGGAAAUGAUCGAGGCGAAAUAGCAAAAUCUAUUACUUUAAAUUUGAAGGAUAUCCCAACGAUUGAGCAGAGAAAUUCAAUGCCACAAGCGGCUAGCACACGGAAAUCUACUUCUUAUAAUAACAGGCCAGCUAAAAUGUGUCGAGUAACAGGCUUUGAUUUCCCUCUUACCUGUGAAGAAGACGUGGAUCGACUAGAGCUCAUGGUUCGUCGGAAUCCAGUUAUUAGAAACCAAUAUGUUCGAUAUUUGGGUAAUAACAGGCCUUCCUAUUUGGAUGUGGAAAGUGUGUUUUGUAGAUUUUUUGAAGCUGAUGCUUUGACUAAUUUUACAUGGAAAGCGAAACACCGAACCGACCAUAAGAUAGGCCUGAAGAAAGCAAUGCAAAAUUAUCUGAUUUUUAAUGGUUGUAUGCUUGAUGCUUGGGCUACACAAGGCAUUACGAGCACAUCUCUUGCAGAAUCGCUGCAAAAAAUUUUGCACCAAAUUCUCCAGCAAUAAAAUGACAGCACAAAGAAAGUGAAAUAAAGAAAAGCAACAUACAGUA